rnacentral:rRNA from 1 species
ACCCGCUGAAUUUAAGCAUAUAAGUAAGUGGUGGAAAUUAAACCAACUGGGAUCUCUUCAGUAAUUGCGCAUGAACCAGGAUAUGCUUAGCUUGACAAAUGGAGCUGCUGGCUCUGAAUUGUAUUGUGGGAAUGUAUUACCAACAGAGGUGCAGGUGUCAGCCAUUUGAAAGAAAGCAUCAAUGAGGGUGAGAGUCCUGUUUGUCAUGUGCAGCCUUCUGUGCACGGUGUAUAUUUGCUGAGUCACACUCCUUGGCAUUGGAAUGCAAAGUGGGUGGUAAGUUUCAUGCAAAGGUAAAUAUGCAAUUGAGACUGAUAGCACACAAGUACCAUGAGGGACAUAUGAAAAGGACUUUGAAAAGAGAAUUAAAUGAGUUUGUAUUUGCUAAACACAAAGUAAACAGACUUGAUUUCCUCAGUGAGAUUGUAGUGCUUGCUUAACAAUGGGUUUUGGCUGCAAGUGCAAUAAUUCUUGCUUUGUGUGCCAGUUUUUAUGUGGACAUUUGAUUACCUUUGCACAUGAAUGGUAAUUUUCCUGCGGGGUGUGGAUUGCAUAUGCAUGUAAUGAUUUGCAUGUUUGUUAAAUGUGUCUGGUGUAUUUGUUUGUGUCCUUGUCCUUGAGGUUGCUUUCUCCCUUGGGCUUACAUGCCCUGGCACACACAUUCUGGCAAAAUGCUUCUGCUUGACCCGUCUUGAAACACGGUCCAAGG